UACAGAGACUGCAAGCGUUAUUCGGAUUCACUGGGCGUAAAGGGUGCGCAGGCGGCCGGGUGUGUCAGAUGUGAAAUCCCGAGGCUCAACCUCGGAACUGCGUCUGAAACUACUCGGCUAGAGUACUGGAGAGGGUAACGGAAUUCACGGUGUAGCAGUGAAAUGCGUAGAUAUCGUGAGGAACACCAGAGGCGAAAACAAUUACCUGGACAAUUACUAACGCUCAGGCACGAAAGCAUGGGGAGCAAAA
rnacentral:rRNA from 1 species